GGUGAUGAUGGAAGCCAGAAAGAACAAGCCCAAACAGGAGAACUGACCUUCUCAAGACUACACCAUCAGUCACUGUUGAUGCCUGGCAGGGCACCAGGGCUCCUCUGCCAAGUCUUCUCCCAUCAUCUCCACAGGGGUCGGGAAGAUGAAAAUUCAAAUGUUCCUACUUACUGGCUGUGUGCUGAGUGGGUGGAAAUGACCACUGAGGCAUCAUUGGAACCAAUGCACUGCACACAAAGAAGUCAUGUGAGCACAUAGUGAGAUGGCAGCCACUUAUGAGCUAACUUCAAAGAGGCCUCAGGAUGACACCUACCCUGCCAACACCCUAAUCUUGGACUUCCAGCCUCCAGAACUGUCAGAAAUAAAUUUCUGUUGUU